rnacentral:misc_RNA from 1 species
GAACUGGGAAGACUGCAACCUUCUGCUCUGGGAUACUUCAGCAACUUGAUUAUGGUCUAAUCCAGUGUCAGGCAUUAGUUCUGGCUCCGACUAGGGAGCUGGCUCAACAAAUCGAGAAGGUUAUGAGAGCUCUUGGAGAUUAUCUUGGUGUCAAGGUUCAUGCUUGUGUAGGAGGGACAAGUGUCCGUGAAGAUCAACGCAUUCUUCAAGCUGGU